UUGGUUUAGUGGUUAAGAAGUUUGGCUGCUAACCAAAGUGUUGGCAGUUCAAAUCCGCCA
rnacentral:tRNA from 1 species